rnacentral:lncRNA from 1 species
ACAAGUGAUGCCUUCUUUUGAUUUAAAUCGAAUGUACUGUACAAUUAGUAUACAAAAUUGUACAAUUUGUAUACAAUUUCAAAUAAAUUUCAACAUAAGAAAAGACAUAAAUCUAAUCUCUUCAUGUUUCCUCUCCGAGGCUAGAUCUGUUGCCCUCAAUAUUGACCAAACAACAAGCCCCUUUUUUACAAGCCACUUGCCGGAAAUUUGCCAUGACCUCCCUGUAUUCUUCUAAAUACCAAGUUAUUGACAUAUAGCACUAAAGACAACGAAAUCAGCCACAACUCAAUUCAAAAACCACAACACAGUGACAACACAUCAAUUCAAAUUGUAAUCCUUACCUCCAAAUCCGCUAAAAAACUAAACCUGAAACUUCUGCUUGCUCGAUUUUCCAAUGCAUGCAACAUAACGAUCAAGUCAGUUUUAAUAACAACACCCCAAAUAUCACAAACCAAGUAGCAAUCACAAAGACGAAUGUUUUACCUUUGGAAGACGAAUUUUGAAGACCGACCAGAGUCCCUGAUUAGGAAUUCGAGCCUCUGUUCCAAUCCCAAACCAUGACUGCUGCUCUUAAAUCCCUCCAAGGCGCGACUGGGCUUCACUUAAGAGCUACACACUCGUCGGAUUUUAGGUUCGGGUUUACUCCCAACACAACAACAACAGCCCU